CAGGUGGCUAGCUAGGCUAUAAAUGCAAAAGUGAACAGUGCACCCCAUCCCAAUAUCCCUCCUUCUCUGCCUGGAGUUAUCUGACCAGCCAGCGACCCCGGCGGAUAGGUGUUCCCUCAACCCGUCUGUGAACCCAUCUCCUGCCUUCAGUCUGUUUUCUGUGUGAUCCACCAGUCACGCCAUCGCACUGA